CUGUGAUGGGGAGAAGACAUUGUGUCUUCGAGUCGUUGAUUUCACACUGCCGAGAAAAGCCUCUAGAUAGAAAAUAGGUGCCCGUACCGCAAACCGACACAGGUAGUCAAGAUGAGAAUUCUAAGGUGAGCGAGCGAACUCUCGUUAAGGAACUCGGCAAAAUGACCCCGUAACUUCGGGAGAAGGGGUGCUCUUUAGGGUUAACGCCCAGAAGAGCCGCAGUGAAUAGGCCCAAGCGACUGUUUAUCAAAAACACAGGUCUCUGCUAAACCGUAAGGUGAUGUAUAGGGGCUGACGCCUGCCCGGUGCUGGAAGGUUAAGAGGAGUGGUUAGCUUCUGCGAAGCUACGAAUCGAAGCCCCAGUAAACGGCGGCCGUAACUAUAACGGUCCUAAGGUAGCGAAAUUCCUUGUCGGGUAAGUUCCGACCCGCACGAAAGGCGUAACGAUUUGGGCACUGUCUCAACGAGAGACUCGGUGAAAUCAUAGUACCUGUGAAGAUGCAGGUUACCC
rnacentral:rRNA from 1 species